rnacentral:rRNA from 1 species
AGAGUUUGAUCCUGGCUCAGGCCGUACGCUGGCGGCGUGCUUAACACAUGCAAGUCGAACGGGAUCCAUGUUGUAGCAAUACUUCGGAAGAUCUAGUGGCGAACGGGUGAGGAACACGUGAGAAACCUGCCCCGAACUUCGGGAUAACAGUUGGAAACGAUUGCUAAUACCGAAUACCUCUGCGAAGUGGCAUCACUUUGCAAAGAAAGAAUUUCGGUUCGGGAGGGUCUCGCGGCCUAUCAGCUAGUUGGUGGGGUAACGGCCUACCAAGGCAUCGACGGGUAGCUGGUCUGAGAGGAUGAUCAGCCACACUGGGACUGAGACACGGCCCAGACUCCUACGGGAGGCAGCAGUGGGGAAUCUUGUGCAAUGGGCGAAAGCCUGACACAGCAACGCCGCGUGCGGGAAGAAGGCCUUCGGGUCGUAAACCGCUUUCAGCAGGAACGAAAAUGACGGUACCUGCAGAAGAAGGUGCGGCCAACUACGUGCCAGCAGCCGCGGUGACACGUAGGCACCAAGCGUUGUCCGGAUUUAUUGGGCGUAAAGAGCUCGUAGGCGGUUCAGCAAGUCGGGUGUGAAAACUCUGGGCUUAACCCAGAGCCUGCACCCGAAACUGCUGUGACUAGAGUUCGGUAGGGGAGCGGGGAAUUCCUGGUGUAGCGGUGAAAUGCGCAGAUAUCAGGAGGAACACCGGUGGCGAAGGCGCCGCUCUGGGCCGAAACUGA